GACGAAGCUUCCAAAGAGAACCGGAAGCGAAAAAGAGAGAUCUCUCGGAAAGUACGGGAGAUGAAGCGAUCUGAACUGCUCCAGACCCCCGGGCAUGAAGCUGAGGAGAUGAAAGGGGGUUCUUCUCAACCUUCAGUGCAGCCGAUCCCUGAUGUUGAAGCGAUCCGGUCUCCUCCUCACCAAGAAGAGCCGCCUCCACCUCCCCCAGCUGUUCAGAGCACCGAAGGUGGUCCUUCUCAGCCUCCUGCGAGGCCUCUUUCCCGAGGCGCCCAUGUCCUAUUCACUUCACUGGAGAAGAACUGGACGGUUCGAGAAAAUCCAGGCUUCGCUAAGGUCCUGGGGUCAUCCAUCUGCCUUCCGGAAGACCGGGACAGGCUGUCUCCGAACACUCUUGAUGACAUCCUGACCAGAUCCAUGAGCCUGAACGUGGAGU
rnacentral:misc_RNA from 1 species